CUUCGACGCAAAAAGGACCAAAACGAAUGCUUUGCUUCCCGAAAAGGAGCAAGACACCCCCCCCCUCCGGGACUGACGGAAGUGGUACCGACAUCGGGGAAGGGGGGGGGAGAAACCCGCUCGCUGGUCACGUGACCCACCCUCCCGGACUGGGCGGCUCCACACUGGGCCGGGGAGCUUGACGCCCCAGUUCUUGGUUCGCCACGCCCCUGCCCCGGUGAGACCACGCCCCUCUACGGGCAGGACCGAGAGGGUGAGAUCCCGACCCGCACCGCCCUGGGCCCGCGGCCCUGACGCGGCGGAGGGAGAGAACGGCUCUUCUGAAAGUCCCCGAGGAGUGGUGCGGUGCCCUGAACUUGGGAAUGGUGAGAAGAGUCGUGCCCGGGAAGUCCCCCAGCGUGGGCUUUUGUAGAACUCUACUGGAGCGCGUGACCCUGUAACAAUACCUCAUAUUUACUGAGUUCCAUAUUUAUUUAAUCCUCACGACAGUGCUGUGAAUGUCAGGACUAGCAUUGUCCCCAUUUUAUAGUAGUGGAAGCAGGUUCCUAGGACUGCGGAGUUGAGAUAGGAACCAAGGCAGCUUUAGCGACUUAAUUGUGCGGUAAUUAUCAAUACUGGCCUCUGGAGGAACGCUCUCAUGGACCCUCCCUGUAAAGGACUGAGAAUGUAAGCAUAGGCCUUAGUUUCCACAUCUGUAAAAUGAGUGUUGACCGCUGCCUGCCCUGCCAGUCACGUUCGAUCGUUAGGAGAUUGUGACAUUGUGGAAAUGCUUUGGAAGGUUCAAGUCAAAUGACCGGCCUUCACUGAGCCCUCAUCCGAUGGAAAAGUGAAAGUACCAAAGCAGACAACUUCUUGUAGUCUCAACUCAGGCAUUACAAAAGCUUAAAGGCAUUACAAAAAGCUUUCAAAGUACAGUUUUCUCUUUUUUGUUUUUUGCUUUUAAAGAAGAUAAGAGGGGCGCUGGGGUGGCUCAGUGGGUUAAGCCUCUGCCUUCCGCUCAGGUCAUGAUCUUAGGGUCCUGGGAUUGAGCCCCAUAUCGCCCUCUCUGCUCAGCGGGGAACCUGCAUCCCUUCCUCUCUCUCUGCCUGCCUCUCUGCCUACUUGUGAUCUCUCUGUCCAAAAAAAAAAAAAAACAAAAACAAAAACAAAAAACUUAAAAAAAAAAUAAAAGAAACCAAAGUCACAUUCUUUGUUAUGCACAAAUCCCUUUUAUGUGCACGCACCAAUUCAAUGACAUAUUAGCAGUAGAUGAUAGAUGUCAGUUAGGCAUUAGAAUUUGGAAGGGACCUUAUACAUAAUUCACUUCAAUUUCCUGUCAAUCUACAGAUGGGCGAAGUGACUUUCCAAAAGUCACUUAGAAAACUGGCAGCCUAGGACCAGAACCCAAUUUUAUUAAUCUCUGUAGUGCAUCUGACAUUGCUUCCUCUCACUUUUGGCUUCACUUUUCCUCUCACUUUUGGCUAAUAUGCUUCUUUGUUCUAACUCAUGCAGCAAACGUUCGUUCGCUUAGUCUCAGUGAUGUACAAGGCACCACCCUAGGCUUGGAGGAUACAACCACAAGGUUACAGUUUACGGAGGAGACAGAUGGUAGAUGAUCAUUGAAAUGACAAUUAGUGCUGCUGGUUUGGAAGUGCCAUUUGCUGAGAGGAGAACAUUUGAGAGGGGACACAUUUGGGGAGGAAGAUCAAAAGUUUUAAGUUGGGACAUGUUAGGUUUGUAGUGCCUAGGAGAUGUGCAGAGAAGAAUAUUUGGUGGCUGUCAACGGAGGUCUGGGGCUCAGCAGAAUAAUAUGAGUUGGAAUCGAGCCUUGAGAAUGAGUGGCAUUUUAGAACAGAUGAAGUCAUAAAGAGGUUCAGGGAAAAGACAAGAUGGCCAAAGACCAAGCCCUGAGGAACUCCAACAUUAGAGGUCAGGCAGAGGAUAACAGGCUGCCAAAGGAGAAGCCAGAGAGCUAACAGGAAAAUCAGGAGAAUGUGGAGUUCUGGAACCCUAAAGAAAAGAAUGUUCCAAAAAGGGAUGGCAAACUCUGUUCAACGCUGUGGAAGGAUGAAGCAAGACUGGACUGAGAAGUGUUCAUGAGAUUAAGUAACGUGGAGGCCAUCAGUGACUUUGCAAGAGCGCUUGCAGUGACUGCUUUGCUUGUGGUGGGCUGAAGGCUUCUCCUCGGUCCUCCAGGCCUCCAUGAACAUUGUUUCUCUCAGGAUCCCAGUCUCAUCCUCCUUUUCCCACUGGUGCCUUCCUCCAUUACUGUGACUGUCCUCGAAUUGCUUAUACCUCUCAAAUCUCCAGGUCAGGCCCAGAGUUCUUCCCCACCCUCCCCACCCCCGGUGUAGACUUGGUAUGUGUCUAACUGCAACCUGAGUAUCUUCACGUGGUUGCUCACAGACAGUGGUGUGCUGGAGUCAGCGUGUCUGUUCACACCGGCUCACAAGAACCCAGUGUGCACCUCUCUUCCCAGCUCCUUGUUCAGUGAAGUCAUGUGGAUAGAAGCUUGAGUUUGGCAGAACCUUGCUCAGGAGCCCGAGAAUGGACAACUCUCCAGGACUACGGUGCCCUCUCCUCCACCCCAUUUACAAAAGUAAUGGAGCAGGGAUCCCAUCAGUCAUCCCGCGGCGUCCUGGUCCAGAUGGACAAGGUUUCCAUCUCUUUCGUACGCCUGCUCUCUACCUGGCUAUCCCUUGGGGUCAGUCUCAAAGUCCUUGGCUAUCCUCUCCCAAAUCUUAAAGUUGCGGUGUCUGCCCCUUUAAAGCAGCAGCCCCCGGUCAGGUUAUUGUCUAGCCUUGUAGCCAAUCGGCGGCGCCAUUGGGGGCGGGGGAUCCGGCCUCCUGAUUGGCCACCGCGCGCCCCGCCCCGCCCGGGAUCCCGGGAGCUGUCCGGCCGCCUCGGUGCUGAUCCCGCCGCCGCCCACGGGCCGUGAGCAACGCUGAGAGGGCAUUAUGAGCGGGGGCGUCUACGGCGGAGAUGAGGUGGGAGCGCUGGUCUUUGACAUUGGCUCCUUCUCAGUCCGCGCUGGGUACGCUGGGGAGGACUGCCCCAAGGCUGACUUCCCCACCACGGUGGGGCUGCUGGCCGCGGAGGAGGGGGGCGGGCUGGAGUUGGAGGGGGAGAAAGAGAAGAAAGGGAAGAUCUUCCACAUCGACACCAACGCCCUGCAUGUGCCUCGGGAUGGAGCGGAGGUCAUGUCGCCCCUCAAGAAUGGCAUGAUUGAGGACUGGGAAUGCUUCCGUGCCAUUCUGGAUCAUACCUACAGUAAACACGUCAAGUCUGAGCCCAACCUGCACCCAGUGCUCAUGUCUGAGGCCCCGUGGAACACACGGGCCAAGCGGGAGAAGCUGACAGAGCUGAUGUUCGAGCAGUACAACAUUCCUGCCUUCUUCUUAUGCAAGACGGCUGUGCUUACCGCCUUUGCAAACGGACGUUCCACGGGCCUGGUGCUGGACAGUGGGGCCACCCACACCACAGCCAUCCCAGUACAUGAUGGCUACGUCCUGCAACAAGGCAUCGUCAAGUCACCGCUGGCAGGGGACUUCAUCUCCAUGCAGUGCCGGGAGCUCUUCCAGGAGAUGGCCAUUGACAUUAUUCCGCCUUACAUGAUUGCAGCGAAGGAACCCGUCCGGGAGGGCGCCCCUCCGAACUGGAGGAAGAAGGAGAAGCUACCCCAGGUUUCCAAGUCCUGGCACAACUACAUGUGCAACGAGGUGAUUCAGGACUUCCAGGCCUCUGUGCUGCAGGUCUCAGACUCUCCCUAUGACGAGCAGGUGGCUGCACAGAUGCCCACAGUGCACUAUGAGAUGCCCAACGGCUACAACACAGACUACGGUGCCGAGAGGCUCCGCAUUCCAGAGGGCCUGUUUGAUCCCUCCAAUGUCAAGGGCCUGUCGGGGAACACCAUGCUGGGUGUGGGCCACGUGGUGACCACCAGCAUCGGCAUGUGUGACAUCGACAUCCGCCCGGGCCUGUACGGCAGUGUCAUUGUCACUGGUGGGAACACGCUGCUCCAGGGCUUCACGGACAGGCUCAAUCGCGAGCUUUCCCAGAAGACCCCGCCGCCCCUCUUUCCCCCCAGAGCAUGCGGCUGAAACUCAUCGCCAGCAACAGCACCAUGGAGCGCAAGUUCAGUCCCUGGAUCGGGGGCUCCAUUUUGGCCUCACUGGGCACUUUCCAGCAGAUGUGGAUCUCCAAGCAGGAAUAUGAGGAGGGAGGGAAGCAGUGCGUGGAGCGGAAGUGCCCCUGAGGGCGCCCCCUCAACACCCACACGUCCGCCCGCCGCCCGCCGCCCGCCGAGGUGGGGUAGGGGACACCAAAGGCGGGGAGAGGGUUUCCCGGCUCGGCCUCCGCCGGCGCAGAUCAAAACCCCCACCCGCCCAUGCCCUCGUCUCUACCCCUCCCUUCUCGUCCGCUUAGAUUGUGAUGUUUCUGGGUUGAAAGGAGUAAAAAUGUUUUAAGAAAACAAA